AGGCUCGGGUUCCUAAUGCUAACGGGAUAGGGUUUCCAAACGCCCCCGAGGGAGUUGCCAGGAUCCAGGAUUUUCUUCAAGUUCUUGGAAAUUCUUCGCCGUCCCCGUGGCAUCGCAGCUUCCAACCGCAGGCCCGCCCUGGCCUGGCUGGGCCGGGGCUCCGGCUACGAGAGGGUUAACGCGCCACCAAGAUGGCCGCCUUGUUUUGCACUUCGGAGGGGGUCACGCGGGAGGCCGCCCUUUGCCUCUGGGGAAGCGGUCAAGGUCCUGCCCCUGGCGCUCUGCCCUCGGCGGCGGCUUGAUGGCAUCUCCUCCCCUGCGCGUCCUGCACUCCGGGACCUCCGAACCUUCCAGGCCCCAGGCGAGCCAGACUCCCAGCCUUCCAGGCAGCAGACCGGGCCUUGGAGGAGCGAGGAAGGGAGGCCCCCUCAGAGAUACCGGGCCGGGGAUGCGCGCCGGCGGGGUCCCUUCGGCCUCUAAGAACGUCUGGGGCCCGUGAGCCGAGGCCGCAGCCUGGGCCGCGAUCCCUUUCUAUUUUCUUGUCUCCUGGCUGAAGCCGCCCCAGCUGUCUCCCGGGUCCAGGAUACAGCCAUUUCUCCAGUGAGCAUUUUUAAGUACCUACUGUGUGUCUGCUCUGGAGUCACUACAGUGAUGUGUGAGGUGUGCUACAAAGGGUGAGACCUGCCCCCCAAACUGUCCUGCAGGGCAGGCCCUGGGUGGUGGAAAUACCAUCAUGGACAAACCAGAUCAAGCAUUUCCCCCCCCCGUGAACUUGCAUUCUGAGUGGAAGAUAGACAAUAAACACAAGCACCAAGAUAUUCCUAAUCCUCUGCCUGGCAGUGGUCUGCACUGUGAAGAAGACUGGGGUCGAGGUACAGGGAUAUGGCAGGGGUGACAUCUCAGACACAGUGGUCACAUGCACUUUCCAAGGCAGGUCUGGGCAGAUUAAGAAACAGACCGAGGUUGAAGGCCCAGCCCAAAGCCGCCCAGCAAAUCCAAGGC